GAAGGCGCAGCGUUGGCAUCGCGCGUCGCUCGCGCAGCGUAAGGUGCUUGCACCUUUCAGUGAGUGUAAAACGGGUGAGUAACACGUGGACAACCUGCCUCAAGGCUGGGGAUAACAUUUGGAAACAGAUGCUAAUACCGAAUAAAACUUAGUGUCGCAUGACACAAAGUUAAAAGGCGCUUCGGCGUCACCUAGAGAUGGAUCCGCGGUGCAUUAGUUAGUUGGUGGGGUAAAGGCCUACCAAGACAAUGAUGCAUAGCCGAGUUGAGAGACUGAUCGGCCACAUUGGGACUGAGACACGGCCCAAACUCCUACGGGAGGCUGCAGUAGGGAAUCUUCCACAAUGGGCGAAAGCCUGAUGGAGCAACGCCGCGUGUGUGAUGAAGGCUUUCGGGUCGUAAAGCACUGUUGUAUGGGAAGAACAGCUAGAAUAGGAAAUGAUUUUAGUUUGACGGUACCAUACCAGAAAGGGACGGCUAAAUACGUGCCAGCAGCCGCGGUAAUACGUAUGUCCCGAGCGUUAUCCGGAUUUAUUGGGCGUAAAGCGAGCGCAGACGGUUUAUUAAGUCUGAUGUGAAAGCCCGGAGCUCAACUCCGGAAUGGCAUUGGAAACUGGUUAACUUGAGUGCAGUAGAGGUAAGUGGAACUCCAUGUGUAGCGGUGGAAUGCGUAGAUAUAUGGAAGAACACCAGUGGCGAAGGCGGCUUACUGGACUGCAACUGACGUUGAGGCUCGAAAGUGUGGGUAGCAAACAGGAUUAGAUACCCUGGUAGUCCACACCGUAAAACGAUGAACACUAGGUGUUAGGAGGUUUCCGCCUCUUAGUGCCGAAGCUAACGCAUUAAGUGUUCCGCCUGGGGAGUACGACCGCAAGGUUGAAACUCAAAGGAAUUGACGGGGACCCGCACAAGCGGUGGAGCAUGUGGUUUUAAUUCGAAGCAACGCGAAGAACCUUACCAGGUCUUGACAUCCCUUUGAAGCUUUUUAGAGAUAGAAGUGUUCUCUUCGGAGAACAAAGUGACAGGUGGUGCAUGGUCGUCGUCAGCUCGUGUCGUGAGAUGUUCGGGUUAAGUCCCGCAACGAGCGCACCCUUAAUUGUUUAGUUGCCAGCAUUCAAAAGGGCACUCU
rnacentral:rRNA from 1 species